CAUUGGGUGACAGAGCGACAUGGAUAUGAGUGCCAUCAAGAGCACCUAUACAAUCUUUGAAGUGUGGAUAUGCACGUCUAUCAUCUAUUAUCCUUUUAUGGAUAGUAGGAAAGUUUGGAUUUUUGUUCUAAUGAAAUCCUUUGCCAUAGCAAUAAAAAAUAAUAAGACCUCAUCAAAUUUCCUACUUAUAGUUUCACCAGAGUGGUUGAAUCUAUUUUGAGCUCUCCUGUUAGACUCAUUUCCACUCAAAGUGUAUAAUAAAAUCGCCAGCAUCUCAUAUGUGUUCAUAUGCAUGGAAGGUUGAAGCUCAUACCAUUCCACCAAUAAAUCAUGAAGGUCCAUAAAUAUAUCCCUAACCAUGAUAUUCACAUAUAUUUUCAACUAUUUGGAAGAAUAGCAAUUGUUCAAAUAUCACAACAUCCGUACCACAUUCAUAUAUGCAUACCAAAUAUGUCAACAUAGAUGAACAUGCAUCAUGUACUAUUCACAUACCUCCUCUUCUUCAUUCUUCUUGGC
rnacentral:lncRNA from 1 species